rnacentral:rRNA from 1 species
UACAGAGGGUGCAAGCGUUAAUCGGAAUUACUGGGCGUAAAGCGUGCCGUAGACGGUUAUGUAAGUCAGAUGUGAAAGCCCCCGGGCUCAACCUGGGAAUUGCAUUUGAGACUGCAUAGCUAGGGUGCGGAAGAGGGAAGCGGAAUUUCCGGUGUAGCGGUGAAAUGCGUAGAUAUCGGAAGGAACACCAGUGGCGAAAGCGGCUUCCUGGUCCAGCACCGACGUUCAGGCACGAAAGCGUGGGGAGCGAAACAGGA